GUUAUGUGUUUCAUGUAUUUUAUUGUCCAUUGUGUAGGAGUUUAACUAGCAGAGUGAUUUGCAUAUCAUUAACGCAAGCAUUUAGUGUUUUUACAAAAGGUGAAAUGCUGUCCAGCCGGCUAGAAUGAAACAAUUGUAUGCUAUCGCUCCUGGAGCAAGAAAAGCGCUUGUUACAUCCCACGUGAAAGGGGCCCCGCAAACUUCUGCUGUUCAAAUCGUGGCUCCACAUUUCCAUUUGCAAACUGAUUAAUCCUGAAAGUCAUUCUUUUACUGAUAAAAAGGAUUGAAUGGACAAGAUGUCUCUCCCUCAUAAAGG